AUUGAACGCUGGCGGCAUGCUUUACACAUGCGAGUCGAACGGCAGCGCGGGCUUCGGCCUGGCGGCGAGUGGCGAACGGGUGAGUAAUGCAUCGGAACGUGCCCAGUAGUGGGGGAUAGCCCGGCGAAAGCCGGAUUAAUACCGCAUACGACCUGAGGGUGAAAGCGGGGGACCGAAAGGCCUCGCGCCAUUGGAGCGGCCGAUGUCGGAUUAGCUAGUUGGUGGGGUAAAGGCUUACCAAGGCGACGAUCCGUAGCUGGUCUGAGAGGACGACCAGCCACACUGGGACUGAGACACGGCCCAGACUCCUACGGGAGGCAGCAGUGGGGAAUUUUGGACAAUGGGGGCAAGCCUGAUCCAGCCAUGCCGCGUGCGGGAAGAAGGCCUUCGGGUUGUAAACCGCUUUUGUUCGGGAAGAAAUCCUCUGGGCUAAUACCCCGGGGGGAUGACGGUACCGGAAGAAUAAGCACCGGCUAACUACGUG
rnacentral:rRNA from 1 species